rnacentral:sRNA from 1 species
AUUACUUGUUAUUUAUCAUUCUAGAUGAAUUGGGUUUCUGCAGAUUAAUGCUUUAAAAAUGUGUUUCUCUUAAUCAGGCCUACUUUCCCCACUCCCAAACAAUGAUACAUCUUCUCCAAGCGUUGGAUGUGGCCAAUCGGCUAGAAGUGAUUCCUAAAAUUUGGAAAGAUAGUAAAGAAUAUGGUCAUACUUUCCGCAGUGACCUGAGAGAAGAGAUCCUGAUGCUCAUGGCAAGGGACAAGCACCCACCAGAGCUUCAGGUGGCAUUUGCUGACUGUGCUGCUGAUAUCAAA